rnacentral:rRNA from 1 species
CCUAACACAUGCAAGUCGAACGGUAACAGAUAAGAGCUUGCUUUUAUGCUGACGAGUGGCGCACGGGUGAGUAACGCGUAUACAAUCUACCUUUUACAGGGGGAUAGCCUUUAGAAAUGAAGAUUAAUAUCCCAUAGUAAGUUAUCAUUGCAUGAUAGUAACUUUAAAGCUUCGGCGGUAAAAGAUGAGUAUGCGUUCUAUUAGCUAGAUGGUGUGGUAACGGCACACCAUGGCAACGAUAGAUAGGGGCCCUGAGAGGGGGAUCCCCCACACUGGUACUGAGACACGGACCAGACUCCUACGGGAGGCAGCAGUGAGGAAUAUUGGACAAUGGGCGAGAGCCUGAUCCAGCCAUGCCGCGUGCAGGAAGACUGCCCUAUGGGUUGUAAACUGCUUUUAUACGGGAAGAAACCUAGUCACGUGUGACUAGCUGACGGUACCGUAAGAAUAAGGAUCGGCUAACUCCGUGCCAGCAGCCGCGGUAAUACGGAGGAUCCAAGCGUUAUCCGGAAUCAUUGGGUUUAAAGGGUCCGUAGGUGGAUAAUUAAGUCAGGGGUGAAAGUCUGCAGCUCAACUGUAGAAUUGCCCUUGAUACUGGUUGUCUUGAAUUAUUGUGAAGUGGUUAGAAUAUGUAGUGUAGCGGUGAAAUGCAUAGAUAUUACAUAGAAUACCAAUUGCGAAGGCAGAUCACUAACAAUAUAUUGACACUGAUGGACGAAAGCGUGGGGAGCGAACAGGAUUAGAUACCCUGGUAGUCCACGCCGUAAACGAUGGAUACUAGCUGUUCGGUUUUCGGACUGAGUGGCUAAGCGAAAG